GGGGAUGAUCGGUUUCGACAGCGGAUGUCGAAGCAGGUGAAGCGAGUCGAGGAAGCGGCAAUGAUCUCGUUAACCAUAUGUCGCAAACAAUAAUCGCCAAUUCUAAGCGCGAUAACUCCGAAGCCUUCGCUCUCGCUGCCUAAUAAGCAGUAGAACGAACCUUCACUCAUGGAGCGUCAGCCCGGGGACUGUUCCCGACCCGGCUCCUGGCGUCAACUAGGGAACUAAACCUCUAGACCCGGUCACGGGGAUUAGAGGGAAAUCAAACAGUGACUGAGCCCGUCGGAGACUUGUCCGUGUGAUCUCCGGGGCCGAGAAAAUCGCAGCGGACUGCACUCGGAGAAGCCCUGAUUCCGCACCGUUGGACGCGGGUUCGAUUCCCGCCAUCUCCAC
rnacentral:tmRNA from 1 species